rnacentral:rRNA from 1 species
AUUGAACGCUGGCGGCAUGCCUUACACAUGCAAGUCGAACGGCAGCACGGGUGCUUGCACCUGGUGGCGAGUGGCGAACGGGUGAGUAAUACAUCGGAACGUACCUUAUCGUGGGGGAUAACGCAGCGAAAGUUGCGCUAAUACCGCAUACGCCCUGAGGGGGAAAGCGGGGGUCCGUAAGGCCUCGCGCGAUUAGAGCGGCCGAUGUCUGAUUAGCUUGUUGGUGAGGUAAAAGCGCACCAAGGCGAUGAUCAGUAGCUGGGCUGAGAGGACGAUCAGCCACACUGGGACUGAGACACGGCCCAGACUCCUACGGGAGGCAGCAGUGGGGAAUUUUGGACAAUGGGGGCAACCCUGAUCCAGCAAUGCCGCGUGAGUGAAGAAGGCCUUCGGGUUGUAAAGCUCUUUUGUCAGGGAAGAAAGAGCAGCUCUAACACAGUCUGCGAAUGACGGUACCUGAAGAAUAAGCACCGGCUAACUACGUGCCAGCAGCCGCGGUAA